UCCGUAGGCGGUGUGGCAAGUUUACGGAAGUGAAAUCUCUGGGCUUAACUCAGAGGCUGCUUCCGAAACUGCCGUGCUAGAGUGCGAGAGAGGCAAGUGGAAUUGCGGGUGUAGCGGUGAAAUGCGUAGAUAUCCGCAGGAACAUCCGAGGCGAAAGCGGCUUGCUGGAUCGCAACUGACGCUGAGGGACGAAAGCUAGGGGAGCAAACAGGAUUAGAUACCCUGGUAGUCCUAGCCCUAAACCAUCAGGACUUGGGGUUUGCCCUGUACGGGGCAAGUCCCGUAGCUAACGCGUUAAGUCCUGCGCCUGGGGAGUACGGUCGCAAGGCUGAA
rnacentral:rRNA from 1 species